rnacentral:rRNA from 1 species
GACGAACGCUGGCGGCGUGCCUAAUACAUGCAAGUCGAGCGCAGGAAGUCAUCCGAACCCUUCGGGGGGACGUUGACGGAAUGAGCGGCGGACGGGUGAGUAACACGUAAAGAACCUGCCCUCAGGUCUGGGAUAACCACGAGAAAUCGGGGCUAAUACCGGAUGGGUCAUCGGACCGCAUGGUCCGAGGAUGAAAGGCGCUCCGGCGUCGCCUGGGGAUGGCUUUGCGGUGCAUUAGCUAGUUGGUGGGGUAAUGGCCCACCAAGGCGACGAUGCAUAGCCGACCUGAGAGGGUGAUCGGCCACACUGGGACUGAGACACGGCCCAGACUCCUACGGGAGGCAGCAGUAGGGAAUCUUCCACAAUGGACGAAAGUCUGAUGGAGCAACGCCGCGUGAACGAUGAAGGCCCUCGGGUCGUAAAGUUCUGUUGUAAGGGAAGAACAAGUGCCGCAGGCAAUGGCGGCACCUUGACGGUACCUUGCGAGAAAGCCACGGCUAACUACGU